rnacentral:rRNA from 1 species
CCUGAGAAACCCGAAAGGUCGAAAGGAGAAAUUCAUUCGCGUUUCGAUGUAAGCGUUAAGCGGGGUGUGUGACGAAAUGGGUUCGCCUAUUUUGCGCCCUCUGUUUUUCGAUCUUGCAACGAACGCGUGCACUUUUCUCCUAGUAGGACGUCGCGAUCCGUUGGGCGUCGAUUUACGAAUGAUGCGAUGGAGCCCGUUUGUAGCGUCUUUACGGACGUUUAAUACUUACGAACUCGUACAUUCCAAUCGGCUCGCUCGACGGUAUAAGAUAACGGUUAAGGGCCGCUCUUCGGAGCGUUCGACUUGUGGCAAGCGCGCUAGUCUAUUGGCCAUCGGACCUAGUGCCGAUUCUGAUACCUAGUGACUGUUGGCUGCAAUGUUCUCGAACAGACUCUUUACUAACCGAUCUGCGACGCUAUAGCUUUGGGUAAUUUCAGGACCCGUCUUGAAACACGGACCAAGGAGUCUAGCAUGUACGCGAGUCAUUGGGAACUACUAAACCUAAAGGCGAAAUGAAAGUGAAGAUCUUUCUUACGAGAGAUCGAGGGAAGACGAUAAAUCCUACGGGAUUUUUCCGCAUUCCCGGAGCGUCUCAUUCUCAUCGCGAGAGGAGGCGCACCAAGAGCGUACACGCUGGGACCCGAAAGAUGGUGAACUAUGCCUG